rnacentral:rRNA from 1 species
UUCGUCACACUAUCAUUAACUGAAUCCAUAGGUUAAUGAGGCGAACCGGGGGAACUGAAACAUCUAAGUACCCCGAGGAAAAGAAAUCAACCGAGAUUCCCCCAGUAGCGGCGAGCGAACGGGGAGGAGCCCAGAGCCUGAAUCAGCAUGUGUGUUAGUGGAAGCGUCUGGAAAGGCGCGCGAUACAGGGUGACAGCCCCGUACACAAAAGCGCAUGUGCUGUGAGCUCGAUGAGUAGGGCGGGACACGUGGUAUCCUGUCUGAAUAUGGGGGGACCAUCCUCCAAGGCUAAAUACUCCUGACUGACCGAUAGUGAACCAGUACCGUGAGGGAAAGGCGAAAAGAACCCCGGCGAGGGGAGUGAAAAAGAACCUGAAACCGUGUACGUACAAGCAGUGGGAGCACCCUUUGGGUGUGACUGCGUACCUUUUGUAUAAUGGGUCAGCGACUUAUAUUCUGUAGCAAGGUUAACCGAAUAGGGGAGCCGGAGGGAAACC